GUAGGUGGCGAGCGUUGUCCGGAUUUAUUGGGUUUAAAGGGUGCGUAGGCGGCCCUAUAAGUCAGUGCUGAAAUAUCCCGGCUUAACCGGGAGGGUGGCAUUGAUACUGUAGGGCUUGAGUAAAGUUGAGGUUGGCGGAAUUGACGGUGUAGCGGUGAAAUGCUUAGAUAUCGUCAAGAACACCUAUUGCGAAGGCAGCUAACUAAGCUUUAACUGACGCUGAGGCACGAAAGUGUGGGGAUCAAACAGGAUUAGAUACCCUGGUAGUCCACACUGUAAACGUUGAUUACUCGCUGUUGGCGAUACACAGCCAGCGGCUAAGCGCAAGCGAUAAGUAAUCCACCUGGGGAGUACGCCGGCAACGGUGAA
rnacentral:rRNA from 1 species